UACGAAGGGGGCUAGCGUUGCUCGGAAUCACUGGGCGUAAAGCGCACGUAGGCGGGCCUUUAAGUCAGGGGUGAAAUCCUGGAGCUCAACUCCAGAACUGCCUUUGAUACUGAGGAUCUCGAGUCCGGGAGAGGUGAGUGGAACUCCGAGUGUAGAGGUGAAAUUCGUAGAUAUUCGGAAGAACACCAGUGGCGAAGGCGGCUCGCUGGCCCGGUACUGACGCUGAGGUGCGAAAGCGUGGGGAGCAAACAGG
rnacentral:rRNA from 1 species